ensembl:lncRNA
GAUCCGCGGGGAGAGCCCGGGGGGCUCGGCUGGAGAAGAGGGAAGGCGGAUCCGCGCUGGCUGCGGAGAGGGAGGCUCCGUGCCUUUGGCAGCCGGGCUCGGCCUGGAGGUGCUGAGCUGAGGCAGCGCCGGGGAAUCGCUGUCUGUCCGUCCGUCCGUGCGUCCUGCUGCUGCACAAAGCUUCGCACUGGGGUGUGCUUACCUUCCCCGCCUGUGCUGGAGAAGGACGUUUGUCUGUCUGUCUGUCUGUCUGUGCACUGAGCUGCCUUGGCCCAGGCUGGGCUGUGGGACUGGGGACAAUCCCCCACAGCCAGGUGUUUGGGGACAAUCCCCACGGCUGGGUGUUUGGGGACAAUUCCCCCAUGGCCGGGUGUCUGGGGACAAUCCCCACGGCUGGGUGUCUGGGGACAAUCCCCAUGGCUGGGUGUUUGGGGACAAUCCCCACAGCCAGGUGUUUGGGGACAAUCCCCACGGCUGGGUGUUUGGGGACAUUUCCCACAGCCAGGUGUUUGGGGACAUCUCCCCACAGCCAGGUGUUUGGGGACAUUCCCCAUGGCUGGGUGUUUGGGGACAAUCCCCAUGGCCAGGUGUUUGGGGACAUUCCCCACAGCCAGGUGUUUGGGGACAAUCCCCAGGACCAGGUGUCCAUCUCAGUGUCCCCAAGUGUGGGGACAGCCCAGUGGCUCUGCGGGUGCUCUGCUGCUUCUUGGCUUUCAUGGACAAUAAAGACACGAGGCCCCGAGCUCUGCCAGGCCGUGCAGGGGACACUGUGGUGGCUCUGGGGACACUCAGGGGACACCAUGGUGCCUCUGGGAACACGCAAGGGACACUGGUGGCUCUGGGGACACUCAGGGGACACCGUGAUGGCUCUGGGGACACAUAGGGGACACCACGGUGGCUCUGGGGACACGCAAGGGACACCACAGUGGCUCUGGGGACACACAGGGCACACCAUGGUGACUCUGGGGACACCGUGGUGACUCUGGGGACACUGCAGUGGCUCUGGGGACACAGAGGGCACACCGUGGUGGCUCUGGGGACACUCAGGGGACACCACGUUGGCUCAGGGGACACCGCGGUGGCUCAGGCGACACCGUGGUGGCUCUGGGGAAAAUCGGAGGACACCGCGGUGGCUCUGGGGACACUCAGGGCGUGUCUGGUGUGUCUGGGGACACACAGGGCACACCAUGGUGACUCUGGGGACACUGCAGUGGCUCUGGGGACACUCAGGGCACACCAUGGUGACUCUGGGGACACCGCGGUGGCUCUGGGGACACUCAGGGCACACCGCGGUGGCUCUGGGGACACUCAGGGCACACCGCGGUGGCUCUGGGGACACGCAGGGCACACCGCGGUGGCUCUGGGGACACUCAGGGCACACCAUGGUGACUCUGGGGACACACAGGGCACACCAUGGUGACUCUGGGGACACCGCGGUGGCUCUGGGGACACUCAGGGCACACCGCGGUGGCUCUGGGGACACACCGAGGCCACCCCGUGGCCCUGUCCUGCUGUUGUGAGACCCCAAAACGAGCGGGGAAAAGCGGCUGAGGCGCCUGGGCCUGGCCCGGCCUCUCGGAGCUGUCGCAAACCCGUGGGUGGAGUUUUUUAGGGUCGGCUUUUUGGGGUUUUUUGUUUUGUUUUGUUUUGUUUUGUUUUUAAUUUUCCCUUCUCCUCGGGCUGGGUGGUCCCUCCCGCGGAGGGAGCCGGGAUGAGGCCAACCCCCGGCUCUUUGUGUGCGGCCGGGACGCUUCUUUCCCAUUAAAAACAACAAAAAAAAAUCCCUUUUUUUGGCUUUUUUUCCCUUCAAAAUCCACCUCAUCCCCCUACCAAAAUGUCAUUUUUUUCCCCCAAAAGCGAUUGCUUCUCUGAGGAAUGACACCUACCCGCAAAAAAAGUGAUUUUUUUCCCCUCCAAAACUCACUUUUCUUCCCCUCCAAAGGGCUACUUCUUCCCCAAAAAAUAACUCUAAGAAGUAGC